UCCCUGGUAGUGUAUCGGCUAGUACACGCGCCUGUCAUUUGGCCGCGCGAAAGCGGGGUUCGACUCCCCGCCAGGGAG